GUGCUUGGGCAACACGCUGGUGACGAUACCCAGGAGCGAUGACCGUCGCAGCUGCGUCCCGGAAGCAGAGUCAGAGAAAAGUUGCUGAACCGCCAGCUGGACCCCUACCUCGAGGCAGCUCGUCCGCCUGUGAGGCAGGAUUUCCGAGGGUGAGCAAAAGGAAAUUCGUAAGGCUUGUUGGUGAAGCGUUGUUGUGAGAUUCUAUUGCAGUCACGGGCGUCUCAGCCGUCUCGCACCCUUCGGGUGCUUUUCCAGCCCCCAAAGAAUGAAGCAGAGCGCGCUCCCCGCACCGUAUUCCCUCUUAGAAUCAGCCGCCGUGUGAGGGACGCCACAGUGGGUGGAGAACAUCAUGCAUCGCUGAUUCCUCUGGAGAAGCUGGGGUGAGAAUGUGUGUGUUUUGCAAAUGCGAACUUGCCCUUCACAGGAUGUCGCUGUGCUUUCAGAGCCCACUAGGUGGUGCGUGAGCUGCGGCGAUGGUGACCGGCUGCGCUGGACCAGUCACCGCCCGCCUCCCAGGACCCCCCUCAGGCCAGAGGCCCCCAGCUCACAAGCCGGCCCUGAAUCAUCCCUGUUCCUGGGCCCGUCUCCACGUUCUUCCUCUGGGAAAGCAGGGCCCAGGCUUCUGCUCCCUCUUCAAUACAGCACACAGAAACUGUUGUGGAUGCUGCGGAUAGGAGAAGGAAAAGAGAAGCGACCAAUAAAGAUCUGUUGUCUGAAAUUCAGUGACUGAAGAUGUGUAUAAAGGACAUUGUUCCUGCCUUGAGCCCCUGGCGCACCCUCAGGCACCGAAUAUUUUGGACAUCAUUGUGUUUUGAUCCAAGACUGACAAGGCUCCCCAGGGAAAGUAUUUCACGUAGAGGCAGCCAUGUUUCCAAAGACUCCAAAGAAUGUUGGAAUUUUUUCUUUUCCGGUUUGUUUUUUGUUGUUGUUGUUGUUAUUUUUUUCAGCCGUACCUAUGGUAUGUGGAAGUUCCUGGACCAGGGAUCAAAUCCAAUGUCAACCUAUAGCACUGUUGCCGCAAGGCCGGAUCUCAAGCCACAGCACCACAGCCGGAAUUGAACACAUCAGAUUCUUAAUUGGACUUUCAUCCUGGCUCUGUGGUGACCAAAUGAGGUGGCAGUGGCUGAGUAGUCACUCCUGAAUUUGAUGGGAGGGUGAACUUUGACGUCCGACACG
rnacentral:lncRNA from 1 species